rnacentral:lncRNA from 1 species
CUGCUGCGGAGGAGGAGGAGGAGCUCCGUAUCCUCCGCCGUGUCCCGACGGAGGAGCUCCGUAGCCACCGUAACCACCAGACGACCCGUAGCCACCGGGAGAUCCGUAAGCGGCCUGAGGCUUUUCUUUGUGCGGCUUGUGGUCUCCCGGAGGAGACGCGUAGGGAGCAGACGGUGGCGCGCCGUAAGGAGCGGAGGAAGGCGGAGGCUGAGAGCCGUAGGGGACGGCGUACGGUGAGGCAGCUGAGGAUCCGUACGGUGGAGGAUUAGCGCCGGAGGAUCCGUACGGUUGAGGCGGUGGAGGAUUAGCGCCGGAGGAUCCGUAGGGUUGUUGCGGCGGUGGUGGGUUUCCGCCGUAACCGUAACCUUGGCUCGAAGGAGGGUAACCAGACAUGGCGAAGGAAGAAAGCGUUCGGACAGAUGAAAG